GUAUGGCUGUUCGCCAUUUAAAGUGGUACGCGAGCUGGGUUUAGAACGUCGUGAGACAGUUCGGUCCCUAUCUGCCGUGGGCGCUGGAGAAUUGAGGGGGGCUGCUCCUAGUACGAGAGGACCGGAGUGGACGCAUCACUGGUGUUCGGGUUGUCAUGCCAAUGGCACUGCCCGGUAGCUAAAUGCGGAAGAGAUAAGUGCUGAAAGCAUCUAAGCACGAAACUUGCCCCGAGAUGAGUUCUCCCUGAGACUUAAGUCUCCUGAAGGAACGUUAAAGACGAUGACGUUGAUAGGCCGGGUGUGUAAGCGCAGCGAUGCGUUGAGCUAACCGGUACUAAUGAACCGUGAGGCUUAACCUUACAACGCCGAAG
rnacentral:rRNA from 1 species